rnacentral:rRNA from 1 species
AGUGAACGCUGGCGGCAGGCCUAACACAUGCAAGUCGAACGGUAACACGAAACGGCUUUCUUUUUCGCGGUCGCGUGUCGGAGGGGGGAGAAAUGUCCGGGAGACUGUCCUUUUUAGUGGGGGACCUACUGGAGACGCUAACGAUUACCCCAUAACGUCGCUACAGGAAAAAGGAGGACCUUUUGGGCCCUUGCGCGCUUGUAUGCCCCGAUGGGAGUAGCUAGUAGGGGGGGUAACGGCGCACCCAGGCGACGCUCCGUAGCUGGUCUGAGAGGAUGACCAGCCACACUGGAACUGAGACACGGUCCAGACUCCUACGGGAGGCAGCAGUGGGGAAUAUUGGACAAUGGGCGCAAGCCUGAUCCAGCCAUACCGCGUGUGUGAAGAAGGCCUUCGGGUUGUAAAGCCCUUUUGGCGGGAAAGAAGAGCAUCAGGUUAAUACCCCGCGGUACUGACGGUACCCGAAGAAGAAGCACCGGCUAACUUCGUG